rnacentral:lncRNA from 10 species
GGGAAUGAUGAUAUCCUGUCCAUUGUGAAGCAGGUUAUUGACUGGGGUUUCUCAGUAUUAUGUGGGUUUGGUGGAAAAUAUUAUGUCUGAAAAGUUACUUCAUCUUUUCAGUAACUAUGUACUCCAGUAGAAAGGAUGAAUAAAUAAUGGAAGGAUAAGAGGGAGGAAGAAAGGAAAGACAGGAAGAAAAGAAGGGAGGAAAGGAGAAAGAAGUGAAGGAUGGAAAGAAAGGGAAGAUGGAAUAAAAAAAAGGAAGGAGGAAGAGAGAAGAAAGAAGAAAGGAAGCUUCCUUUGCUUCUGAGUCUCUAUUUGCAGUGCCCCGAUGCUAGAAACCUGAGAUCCCAUGGCUUCUCCAGAAUGGAGGCUUGGGCAUUGUCAGCACCCUCCUUCCAAGAGUUGAAAGUUCCUCUCUUCUGGUAAGUGAGAAAACAUUUUUAUUCCUGUUUUCCAUCUUCUGCAGUUUCACUGAAAUAAUUACUUUGCUAUUGU